rnacentral:rRNA from 1 species
GAGUUUGAUCCUGGCUCAGGACGAACGCUGGCGGCGUGCUUAACACAUGCAAGUCGAGCGGAAUAUGAGAGCUUGCUCUUAUAUUUAGCGGCGGACGGGUGAGUAACGCGUGAGCAACCUGCCUUCGACUACGGGAUAACACUUAGAAAUAGGUGCUAAUACCGUAUAAGACCACACUCGGGCAUCCGAGAGGGGUAAAAGAUUUAUCGGUCGAAGAUGGGCUCGCGUCCCAUUAGCUAGUUGGUGAGGUAACGGCUCACCAAGGCUACGAUGGGUAGCCGACCUGAGAGGGUGAUCGGCCACAUUGGAACUGAGAUACGGUCCAAACUCCUACGGGAGGCAGCAGUGGGGAAUAUUGGGCAAUGGAGGCAACUCUGACCCAGCAACGCCGCGUGAAAGAGGAAGGUCUUCGGAUUGUAAAG